rnacentral:rRNA from 1 species
GUCGAACGAGGUCUUUCAAGAAGCUUGCUUCUUAAAAGACCGAGUGGCAAACGGGUGAGUAACGCGUAAACAACCUGCCCUCAGGAUGGGGACAACAGCUGGAAACGGCUGCUAAUACCGAAUACGAUCAAACGGCCGCAUGGCCGGAUGAUGAAAGGAUGGCCUCUAUAUAUAAGCUAUCGCCGGAGGAGGGGUUUGCGUCUGAUUAGCUGGUUGGAGGGGUAACGGCCCACCAAGGCGACGAUCAGUAGCCGGUCUGAGAGGACGAACGGCCACAUUGGAACUGAGACACGGUCCAGACUCCUACGGGAGGCAGCAGUGGGGAAUCUUCCGCAAUGGGCGAAAGCCUGACGGAGCAACGCCGCGUGAGUGAAGACGGCCUUCGGGUCGUAAAGCUCUGUUAUAUGGGACGAACGUAUCUAUGGCCAAUACCCAUAGAUAGUGACGGUACCGUAAGAGAAAGCCACGGCUAACUACGUGCCAGCAGCCGCGGUAAUACGUAGGUGGCAAGCGUUGUCCGGAAUUAUUGGGCGUAAAGGGCGCGCAGGCGGCCGGUCAAGUCUGUCUUAAAAGUGCGGGGCUCAACCCCGUGAUGGGACGGAAACUGGCAGGCUGGAGUGUC